GACAGAGGUGCCGAGCGUUAGGCGGAAUCACUGGGCUUAAAGCGUGUGUAGGCGGACUUCUAAGUACCUUGUGAAAUCCCACGGCUCAACCGUGGAACUGCUUGGUAUACUGGUCGUCUUGAGCCAUCUAGGGGCUGUCGGAACAAAUGGUGGAGCGGUGAAAUGCGUAGAUAUCACUUGGAACGCCAAUGGUGAAAACAGCUCGCUGGGGGUGUGCUGACGCUGAGACACGAAAGCCAGGGGAGCAAACGGG
rnacentral:rRNA from 1 species